ncrna:Shewanella sp. MR-7 COG3860 RNA
UGGUCGGCAGUUCACCUAGGCAUCGCCGCUACGAAAAAUCGUAGAGCUAAACCUGCUG